GUCAGGAUGGGCGAGCGGCCUAAGGCGCUGCGUUCAGGUCGCAGUCUCCCCAGGAGGCGUGGGAUCGAAUCCCACUUCUGACA
rnacentral:tRNA from 1 species